rnacentral:rRNA from 1 species
AGAGUUUGAUCCUGGCUCAGAUUGAACGCUGGCGGCAUGCCUAACACAUGCAAGUCGCACGCGAAAGGGGGCAACCCCGAGUAGAGUGGCGGACGGGUGCGUAAUACGCAGGAAUCUACCCACGAGUGGGGGACAACCCGGGGAAACCCGGGCUAAUACCGCAUGAGACCUACGGGUGAAAGCGGGGGAUCGCAAGACCUCGCGCUGGUGGAUGAGCCUGCGUCCGAUUGGCUAGUUGGUAGGGUAAAAGCCUACCAAGGCAACGAUCGGUAGCUGGUCUGAGAGGACGACCAGCCACACUGGGACUGAGACACGGCCCAGACUCCUACGGGAGGCAGCAGUGGGGAAUAUUGGACAAUGGGGGCAACCCUGAUCCAGCAAUGCCGCGUGUGUGAAGAAGGCCUUCGGGUUGUAAAGCACUUUCGAUGGGGACAAACGUGUCGGGCUUAAUACGUCCGGCCUUGAUGGUACCCAGAGAAGAAGCACCGGCUAACUCUGUGCCAGCAGCCGCGGUAAUGCAGAGGGUGCAAGCGUUAAUCGGAAUUACUGGGCGUAAAGCGUGCGUAGGUGGUUGGAUAAGUCAGGUGUGAAAUCCCCGAGCUUAACUUGGGAAUUGCGCUUGAUACUGUCCGGCUAGAGUGUGGUAGAGGGUAGUGGAAUUCCGCAUGUAGCGGUGAAAUGCGUAGAUAUGCGGAGGAACAUCAGUGGCGAAGGCGGCUACCUGGACCAACACUGACACUGAGGCACGAAAGCGUGGGUAGCAAACAGGAUUAGAUACCCUGGUAGUCG